ensembl:lncRNA
CCGGAAAUUAUCGCGAGGGCUAGCUGUGGCCUGCUGAGCAUCCAGGAAGAUAGUGAACUCUGAGAGAAUUCCAUGAAUAGAGGAGCUUGCUGGAUUACAGUCUAUUGGGGUCGCAAAGAGUCAGACACAACUGAAGCAACUGACACUUUAAUCAAUAAAGGAUUCUCCAGGCAAGAAUACUGGACUGGGUUGCCGUGGCCUCCUCCAGGGAGUCUUCCUGACCCAGUCAUCAAAGUCGGAGUCUCUUAUGUCUCCUGCAUUGGCAGGUUUCACUCAUGGAGGAACCAAAGCUUAUGGAGGUUGAAGUAAGUUGCUCAAGAUUACAUAGUUUAUGUGCCGAAGUGUCAUGAGGUCUGCAGCCUUUUUUCAGAUGGUUUGGCCACCAGGCAGUGUGUGUCUGUUUGUGUGCGUGUAUCUAUAUCCCUCUUUCUAUAUAAUAAUAAUAUGGCAGGCUACUAACUGUGCUGCUCAUUGUACUUUUCUUUCAAAUUUACUAUGGGAAUAAGAAAUUUCAAAAUUAAAAGGAAGAUCACACAACUGAAUCAAAUACAACCCAAACUCAUAUACUUAAGCACUCAGCUACGGCCAUCUUAUUGUGUGUAAUCUCUCUAUUCUCGGGCUUAUGUAUCAUUUUGUAUGAGGAAUCAGGAACAACGUGAUAAUAUAUAAACUGACUGAAAAGUCUUGAUUCUCUUAGAGUCUCAAUUGAGUAUUUUAAAAGAUUAUAUUCAAUCUGGACGUUGGAAGAGCUGAUUUGUAAACCUGUUUUGAAUAUGCUUUCCAGUAUGUGCUCAGUUUGACUGAUUUGUUAUUCAGUGAGCAUUUGUUAAUCACCUAGUAUAUACUCAGCCCUGUGGUAGAGGUAGCUAAUAUGGAAAAGUUCAGGAGUUCAAAUUAUUUAUCUUUUAAAGAGUUUAGAGUCUGUUUAGGGCUUCCCAGGUGGUGGUAGUGGUAAAGAACCCACCCACUAGUGCAGGAGAUGCAAGAGACGUGGGUUCAAUCCCUGGCUUGGGAAGAUCUCCUGAAGGAGGGCGUGGCAAUCCAGUCCAGUAUUCUUGCUUGGAGAAUCCGAUGGGCAGAGGAGCCUGGUGGGCUAUGGUCCACAGAGUCACACAGAAUUGGACACAACUGAAGAGGCUUUGCAUGAACACAUGCAGAGUCUGGUUAAGUAGGCAUGAUAAUACAUGCCAAACAGUAGUGACCGACACCAACACAAUUGUAUAAGCAGGAUUUUGAUGCAGUGCUCUGUGCUCUGAAAACUAAAAAGAUAAAAAUCAGUGUGAUCUGGGAUCAUUAGGAAAUGCUUAAUGAAGAAGGCAAUCUCACAAUCUCUUUGAAAGAUGGCUAAUUAGAGGGUUUAGAACAGAACAUUCCAUUUGGAAACAAUACAAGUUUUGUACACAGGUAUUUUGUGUUGAUGGAGCAAUGAUGCUGCGUGAUAGAAAGGAUUAAUUAGUACAGAGAGGGUGUGUAAUGGUGGGGAAGUUGGAUUGGAAGAUACGCUAAGGUGAGUAGUUUAUUCUUGUUAUCACCAGAAAAAGUAAACUCUUGAAUAAGGUUGUAUUUAUCAGAGGUGCUCCUGAUGAAGGUUUCUUUUUGAAAAUCUUUAUGGUCUGCUUCUUUUGUUGUUGAGGCCUCUAUCAGAAUGGCUUUCAGGUUUUCUGUGUCACCAUCACAGGUUCCAGUAAGACAUACUGUAUACAAAUCAGUCUUAGAAAAUGCUGUAUACACGUGUUCCCUAUCCUGAACCCCCUCCCUCCUCCCUUCCUAUACCAUCCCUCUGGGUCAUCCUAGUGCACCAGCCCCAAGCAUCCAGUAUCGUGCAUCGAACCUGGACUAGUGAUUCAUUUCAUAUAUGAUAUUAUACAUUUUAUACCUAUGGUGGAUUCAUGUUGAUGUAUGGCAAAACUAAUACAGUAUUGUAAAGUAAUUAACCUCCAAUUAAAAUAAAUAAAUUUAUAUUUAAAAAUAAAAAUAACAAAA